UACGAGGGGAGCAAGCGUCGUUCGGAUUUACUGGGCGUAAAGGGCGCGUAGGCGGCCACGACAAGUCACUUGUGAAAUCUCCGGGCUUAACUCGGAACGGUCAAGUGAUACUGUCGGGCUAGAGUACAGAAGGGGCAACUGGAAUUCUCGGUGUAGCGGCGAAAUGCGUAGAUAUCGAGAGGAACACCUGCGGCGAAGGCGGGUUGCUGGGCUGAUACUGACGCUGAUGCGCGAAAGCCAGGGGAGCGAACGGG
rnacentral:rRNA from 1 species